GUAUAUUAGUAUUUGUGACGACAUAGAUACGGUACCUUUAGUUCUUUUCAACCAACAAAGCGAAACCCUAGUUGUCGUUGCCUUCAACCACCACCACAACUUCAAGCUCUUGCUGGACAUUCCUUCCUCCCUACCACGUCUAUUGGCAAUUGACAGAUCCAGCUUUUUAUCUUCAGUUGUGCAGUGCUGUUGAACAGUGAAGUAUUUCCAGCGGCAGAUCCAGCAUUGUGGAGGGCUAUUGAACAGUGAAGUAUAUGCGAUCAUCUUUGCUGUUUUUGCUUAGAUUUAUAAGAUAGACAACCAACAUCGCUUUCGGUGAGAAUGUUCUUUCCUGCAGAGACGAUCCUGUCUUUUUCAGUUAACCUAAUACUACAGAAAUUAGCUUCUCCAGAUUUGCUGAAACUGGCUCGCAGAGAACACGUCCAUAAGGAGCUGAAGAAGUGGGAUAAAAUACUGCGUCAGAUUCAUGCAGUGCUUGAUGAUGCAGAGGAGAAGCAAAUAAGCAAUCGCCUUCUAGAAAUUUGGAUUGAAGAGCUCCGAGAAUUAGCUUAUGAUGUAGAGGACAUCCUCGACGAGUUUGCCACUGAGGUUUUACGCAAAAACCUACAAGAGAAGCAAGAAUCGGGCUCAAGCAAGUUACGAACUGCGUUACCCAAGUUCUUUGCUCCGUUGAAUCCUAGAAAUCUGGCGUUUAAUUAUAACUGGGGGUCUAGAAUUAAGAUAAUUACAGCUAGAUUGGAAGAAGUUGUUAAGCAAAAGGAUGGCCUUGAGCUGAGCGUUAAUAGUAGUGAAGGUAGGAGUAGUGGAUCAUUUAAAAGAUUGCCUAGUACUUCUUUGGUAGAUGAACAGCAGAUUUUUGGUAGGGAAGAGGACCAAGAGAGGAUUGUGGAAUUGUUGUUGAGUGGGGAAGAUUGGGAUAAUGGGGUUUGUGUGAUUCCCAUUAUCGGAAUGGGGGGAAUAGGGAAGACUACUCUUGCUCAGCUUGUCUACAAUGAUGAGAGGGUGAUGGAAUUUUUUGAUUUGAGAGCAUGGGUUUAUGUUUCUGAGGAUUUUGAUGUUGCUAGAGUUACAAAAACAAUUCUUGAAGCAAUCACUUUGGAGAGUUCUGAUGCCAAGGAUUUCAAUUUGCUUCAAGUUAGAUUGAGGGAUAGAUUGAUGGGGAAGAAGUUUCUGAUUGUUCUGGAUGAUGUGUGGAAUGAGAGCUAUGAAGCUUGGGCUCUACUUUGCCAUACUUUCAAAGUGAGAUGUCCUAGUAGUAAAAUUAUUGUCACAGCUCGUAACCAAGGUGUUGCUGAUAUAAUGGGUACUGUUCCAAGCCACCAUUUGAAGGGGCUAUCAUUCAAUGAUUGUCUCUCUUUGUUUGCAAAGCAUGCCUUAGGAAGAAGGGAUUUUGAUGGUCAUCCACAUCUGAAGGAGAUUGGUAAGGAAAUUGUUAAGAGGUGUAGAGGAUUGCCUUUGGCUGUUAAAACACUUGGGGGCCUCUUGCGCACUAAACCUAAUCUUGAUGAAUGGGAAAAUAUAUUGAAUAGUAAGUUAUGGGAUUUACCAGAAGACAAGAGCGGCAUUAUUCCAGCCUUGAGGUUGAGCUACUAUCAUCUUCCCUCACAUUUGAAGCAAUUAUUUGUUUUUUGCUCUAUAUUUCCAAAGGGUUAUAGUUUCAAUCAGGAUGAGCUAGUUUUGCUGUGGAUGUCUGAGGGUUUUCUUCCACAACUAGGAGAAAACAAGCAUAUAAAAGAGUUGUAUACUUGUUUUAAUGAAUUAUUAUCACGGUCAUUUUUUCAACGAUCGAGCAGCAUGGAACCACUGUUUGUGAUGCAUGAUCUCAUUAGUGAUCUGGCUCAAUAUGCCGCUGGAGAAAUAUUUGUUAGUUUAAAUGAUAAGCUGGAUGGUAACAAGCACUACUCAGUCACUGAAAAGAUUCGCCAUGUGUCAUUCAGUCGUCAUACGUACGAGCUAUGGAAUAGGUUCAAAGACUUAGGUAAACUGAAGCAUUUACGUACUUUCAUUGCAUUGCCAAUUCAUCUGUCAUCUUGGGCUGCUUGUUGCUAUUUAAGUAAUACUGUCUUAGAUGAAGCAGUGCCAAAAUUGAGAUGCCUAAGAGUACUGUCGCUAAGUGGUUAUUGCAUUAGUAGGUUACCAAACUCAAUCAGUGGUUUGAAGCACUUACGAUACCUUAAUUUGUCUUGUACUAAAAUCAAACGAUUACCAGAAUCUUUGACCAGUCUCUUAAAUCUACAGAUAUUGAUAUUAUUCGGGUGCAGGGAGCUCUCUAUGUUGCCACAAAAAAUUGGAAAUCUAAUCAACCUUUGUCAUCUAGAUGUCACAGAUACUUGUAACUUGAAUGAGAUGCCACCGGGAAUAGGAAAUUUGAUUGGUCUUUGGAAAUUGUCUAAGUUCAUUGUUGGGAAAGGCAAUGGUUGUGGGAUUAGAGAACUAAAAGAGUUGAAUAAUCUUCAAGGGAGACUUUCCAUUCUAGAGUUACAUAAUGUGAUUGAUGUUCAUCAGGCUUUUGAUGCUAAUUUAAGGAAUAAGCACAAUCUUGUUGAGUUAGAAUUGGCAUGGAGUAUGAAAUUUGAUGAACUUCGAAAUAAAGAAUGUGAAAUGCAAGUUCUCAACUUGCUGCAACCUCACACAUGUCUUAAAGAGCUUAAACUUUCUUUCUAUGGUGGUAUGAAAUUCCCUUCUUGGAUAGGUGACCCCUCAUUUUCUAAAGUAGUCCACCUAAAACUCUGUUGCUGUAGAAAUUGUACGUCAUUGCCAUCCCUUGGUAGACUACCUUUACUCAGAUAUUUACAUGUAGAAGGCAUGGAUGCAGUGAAGACGGUGGAUCAUGAGUUUUAUGGGGAUGGCUCUCCAUCUGACAAACCUUUUCCAUCUUUGGAGACUUUGAAAUUUGAGGAUAUGUGUGAAUGGGAAAAAUGGUUGCCUUCUACUGGAGUUGACAAAGAAGUUGAAGAUAAAUUUCCUCGUCUCCGUGAACUUACUUUAUUAAAUUGUCCCAAGUUGGUUGGGAAAUUACCCUGCCGCCUCCCCUCCCUUGUGAAGCUCACAAUAUGCAAAUGCCCGAAACUGGGAGAUUCAGUAAUAAGCCUUCCGUCCCUUCAUGAGCUGAAUUUAGAAGAGUGCAAAAUGGUAGCAUUCAGAAACAUGGUUGACAGCACCUCCUUAACAACAUUGAGGAUCCAGAGCAUGUCAGACCUCACACAUAUGGAGGACUUGUUUAUACAGUCUCUGGGAGCACUUAAAGUUCUGGUGAUUUCUAAUUGCACAAAGCUGAUGAGUUUCGGCACUGAGGGAUUUGGAUUAGAAAAUCUUUUGGGUCUUGAACGUUUGAUAAUUGAGGACUGUCCCCAGUUUGUGUCACUGGCAGAGAAAAACCAUGCAAUGUCUCCUUGUGUUGAUAAUUUUGAAUUUCUAGGCUGCAAUAGUGAGCAUCGAUUGUUGAACAAGCUGUGCAGUGUCAUGCCCCUCAAGCAUUCGCAUUGGGAAUCAUGCACAAAAGAUGUGUCUGCCCCACAAGCAGGACUUUUGUCCACACUUAGACGGCUUGUGCUCAGGAAUUGCUGUGCUCUAGAGUCUCUGCCCCAUGAAAUAAUGAUGUUUAGCUGCAGAAAUAAUAAGUGUCUUCUUGAAGACUUGGAGAUCGAAGAUUGUCCUUUGCUUGAAUGCUUUCCAAUUGGCAGGUUACCUACUACAUUGAAAGUGCUAAAAAUUCGAUACUGUACAAAUCUAAAGUAUCUACCAGAGGGGAUGAUGCACAAUGAUAAUAGCACCAACGAUUUGUCCCAUCUAGAGCAGUUGGAGGUUGUUGGCUGUCCAUCUCUUGCAUCUUUUCCAGCAGGCAAAUUACCCAUUCGGCUUAAACAACUUAAGAUUUGGGAUUGCGAGCAAUUGGAGCCACUUUCAGAGAGGAUGAUGCAUGACAGUUCAUCUCUUGAAUAUAUUAGUAUCUGGAAUUGUAAUAUUAUAACAAUCUUCCCUGAGUACCCUUACAGCCUUAUAAAUCUCGUUGACUUAAAUAUAAGCAAUUGUUCUGGCUUACUAUCCUUCCCAGAAACGGCUCUGUUCCUUCCCAACCUAAGAACAUUGAGUAUCUAUGAUUGUGUCAACCUCAAGUCUCUACCUACUUGGAUGCGAGAUGUCACAUCUCUUCAGGAGCUUACAAUAUCUGGCUGUCCAGGUGCUAUGUCAUGUCUAAAAGCUGAUUUACCCACAAACCUAAUAUCCCUUGAGAUAUGGGAUUAUGAAGACGUUGAUGGCAGUACAUCAGAGUGGAACUUGCAUAGUUUAUCUCGUCUUAGAGAUUUUAGCAUUUCUGGUGGAUGUUUUUCAAGUGCAGUUUGCUUUCCUGAUGACAAAUGUCUGCUCCCUCCCUCUCUAAUUUCUGUUUGGAUUGGUGGACUUCCAAAUCUAGAAUCCCUAUCCAUGCGGCUUCAAAGUCUUACCUCUCUAGAAGAGCUAGAGAUUGUCGCUUGUCCAAAACUUUGGUCCUUACCAAAGGAAGGCCUGCCUGCCACACUUGGAAGAUUCAGUAUCAGGGAUUGUCCACUUCUAAAGAAACAGUGCAAUAAGGAGAAAGGAGUAUUUUGGCCUAUGAUAGCUCACAUCCCAUGCGUGGAGAUGGACAGUGAAGACGUGAUGAACUGAUUUCUACAAAUCAGGUUAUGCAUGCUAGCAAAGAAGCUAGUCCUUAUUUUCGAUUAGAAGAUGGUAAUCAUCACAUCAACUAUCAAUUGACAUCUAUUUCCUGGAUCUCUCAAUGCUUUUAACACGAUAAAUUCAAUUAGUAUGGCUUCUCCUUUUGGUCUUCAAUCCCAUUCAAAGGUCAACGUUUUGAAUGCCUUCUUCCAUUGCAAUGAAAAAGCAAUGCCUUUGGGACAAGGACUUGACUGUCUUUACACACAGGCACACCCUACAAAAGGAAGACCAUGAUAUAGGUUUUUCUGAUCAAGAUUGUAUUAAUUACGGAAAAGAAGCAAUAAACCAAAGCAUAACUUUCAGAUGAGCUUGUUGAUAAGAAAAUGACUGCUCAGAAGAAAACUGUCAAAAUCCCACUGAGAUUGAAAAGUUGUGAGAGGGAAGAAAGUCCCAUUUCAACCAAUGAUGGCAUUAGAGUGGAAUUAUGAUGAAAUAUUUCUAAAUUUUGAAGUGAAAUGCAUUUGCUGGAGUGGUUCUGCAGGAAGAUGUGAUAGUCAUGUGUGUACCCCUUCCAAUCAAAGGACCAAACUCAAUACAAAAUUUAGAAAAGCUGCAAUAGCUUCCUUUUUGUACAUAAUAUGGGAAAGGAUACAACUUCAAUCUUUGAUCUACAUAUCGAAGCAUAUAAUCAAAUUGGUGGUUCACCGUCUCCCAAUAUUGGUAACUUGAAGAUGCUUCAACGGUUCGAGUUGAGGGGAAACAAACUGUCUGGAACUCUGCCUAAUCAAUUAGGGACUUUGAGACUUGUGAAAUUGAAUAUCCUGGGAAGCAACAAUAUAGCAAGGGGUAUUCCAUCUGAACUGUACUCAUGGAAGGAAAAAGUAUAGCACGAUCUCUAAGUUGGGAGGCAAAGUAGGAUUGACUUUUGCAGAUGCUUCAGUUGAGCUGGGCUAUGACAGUGUGGUCAAAGCAAUUGGGAAUUUCAUUAGGGACCUGAUUGGCACAGGUGGCUAUGGGUCAACAUACGAGGCUGAAUUGGCCCUAGGUUGCCUUGUAGCAGUAACCUAGCUUUCGCUGGGCAGAUAUCAAGGCAAUCAACAGUUUGAUGCAGAGGUCAAACACGGGGCAGAACAACAUAAGAACGUUUUGACUUCUUUCCUUUCAAUUACUAUGGCUUUUUCCUUUGUUUUUCAGCUCAUUAAAAUUUCAUGUCUUUAUCAUGUUUCUAAAAAGGUCUCUUUAUUUUCAUGGAAGUAUAAACUUUUUUAUAUCACAAAAGCACUUUUGGUUGCUAUGCAUUGAUUAAUUCCAUGGUAAUAGUUUUGAGAGACAAUAAAAGUUCUUUUGUACAGCCAUGGAUUUAAGAAAUCCAAUUAUUGUUUUUGUUCAGCAAAUAAUGAGUUAAUUAUAUUCAAUUUUCAAUUAUCAAAUGGCUCUUGCAAUUCAACAACUCUUGGCAUGCCUUAUUUGAUGCUAUAAAUUGGAAAGCAUUUGAUUAGAAGAAAAAGUUAUAUUGCAAACACACCAAAAACUACAACUAUUUGGCUGCUGGUGCUUGAUCUUUUAUCUUACCUUUUAUUCUUAGGAUAAAUAAACUCAUCUAAUUUUGAUCUAACUUUAUUUGUACUCAUAUAUUUUUCCAACAAGGCUGACACCUCAUUGUAUUUGUAUAUUGGAAAUUGUUCACAUAGGUCAAAACAAGUCGAUAAAAAGAAUUAUGCCAUGAUUCAAUGACUGAGUCCUUCAACAAAAUGGACAAAUAUAUCCAUGGCUAAGAAAAAGAAAACAUCAUCUAAUACGCGACUGCCUAAUUAUAUCCUAACAAUAAUACUGAUCUUGGCAAAGUUAGAUAUACAAGCAUAUUUCAUCAUGUCAAUCAGGAAUCAGGAUGGAGACAUACUAAAUCCAGGAAUGAAUUUCAGAUGGGAUUAUUUUUUCCCUAUCAAGCCAUUCCUUGAGCUAAAGCAGCUGUGCAUCAUCCUUUCUUUGGAAACCUUUCCUCUUCAGUCGAGCUUCGUUAGAAGAAUCCCAAUGUAGAUUUGCAGUAGUCAUUGUUUCUGGGCCAUCAGCAUUUAUGGUGAUAAUGUCUGCAAUUGUGAGAAUUGAGAAAGAAUCUGCAAGUUGAUCUGUCAUUUCCCUUCUGGAAUCAACAUGCUCGAAGGUUAAUGGAAUGAGUUAAUCCUAAAUUUUAGCAGAAAUUUCAGUUAUAAACAUGUACUUUUUCCUUUUAAUUUGCAUCAGUGAUAUUUAUAUUUCAACGAGUCAACAAAUUGUGAUGAAUUUUUCAAGCUUUUUCAUAUUUUCAUUUAGAUGUAAUCUGUAAGUUGUUACUCGCUCAGUUAACUUUUCUUGAAUAAAAAACCAUUAGAACCAAA